rnacentral:rRNA from 1 species
AUUGAACGCUGGCGGCAGGCCUAACACAUGCAAGUCGAGCGGAGCGGCGAACGGGUGAGUAAUGCCUAGGCAUCUGCCUGGUAGUGGGGGAUAACGUCCGGAAACGGGCGCUAAUACAGCAUACUAUCAGCUGAGCCUAGGUCGGAUUAGCUAGGUGGUGGGUUAAGGGCCUACCAAGGCUACGAUCCGUACCUGGUCUGAGAGGAUGAUCAUGGACACUGGAACUGAGACACGGUCCAGACUCCUACGGGGUGCAGCAGUGGGGAAUAUUGGACAAUGGGCGAAAGCCUGAUCCAGCCAUGCCGCGUGUGUGAAGAAGGUCUUCGGAUUGUAAAGCACUUUAAGUUGGGAGGCGUUACCAACAGAAUAAGCACCGGCUAACUUCGUGCCAGCAGCCGCGGUAAUAC